GUAUUCUAAGCACAGAGAGCAAUUCUGCUGUACUAAGCAAAAUUGUCCGUUACUAUUUCUGUUUAUUUUCUUUUUUAACAUGAGAAAAAAUCACUUUUCCCAGUACCUUGAGUUGAGCAUAAAAAGAAGGCUUGAAAAUCUGUACUUACUUUCUCUUUCAUUAAGCAUUUUGUCAUCCACAGAUAGGAUUCAAACAUUGUAAAUUAUUUUUAUUAACCCUACUGUGACUUGUUUUGGCACCCCUGAGGGAUGAUAUCAUUUUGAUGUUUAACAGUACUGCCAGGAAAUAUUGUCUCAAUAGUGCUAAGUAUUGCUCCUGGACUAGAAAAAGGAAAUUUUUACAAUGCGUCUGCAGUAUCUCCCUCUUUCUACUAAUGGAAUAGAAACGCUGCCCACCCUUUGGGAAAAGGAAGGCGAGAGGCAUGACGGGACCCUGUGGUGCAGUGCGGUGCUGGGCCAGGCCUUGGAGAGGAGUGUGGUGUGACAAAUAAGUUCAGUUGGUACAUGGAGUGUAUCAUCAGAUUUGCUGGAUGAACUGCUGACAUUGUUCUUGAUAGUUUAAAAUAACAGCAGACAGUAUGAAAAAGGCAGUCUCCUCUGACAGGUGUUUUUUGCCAGUAGUAAUGUCCAGUAAUUGGAAUAAACUGCCAAGUGAAGGAAUAGAUUCUCCAUCUUUUGAUGAUUUUGUGGAAUGGGGUGCUGAGUCGCCUGAGAAGACUUUGUCAUUCCCAUCUCUGAAGUAUUCCUGCAGCUUUUCCAGGCUUUCCAAGGUGAGAAAGAGGGAGCUGAAGCAUCCUCAGUAGCUUCUUUGGAUCUCCAGUACUUCAAAGGCAGGAUUAGACCUGCAGGAUUAAUAAAUUUAACAACUAAAUCCUGAAGUAUGAUGAG
rnacentral:lncRNA from 1 species